UUGGAAUACAGAGCGUAAGGAAGG
rnacentral:sRNA from 1 species